UUGUGAAAGACUGCGAUGUUAGCAGAGAAAGAGCCAGGUUAGGAAAAACCUUUUCACCCAGAGGGUGGUAGGUGCCUGGGAUUCAUUGCUUGAGUUGGUGGUUGAGGCAGAAACCCUCAACUCAUUUAAAAGGUACCUGGAUCUGCACCUGAAGUGUUGUAACCUGCAAGGCGAAGGACUGGAUACCGGAAGCUGGGUGUUCUGAUCCUGGCUGGAACAACAAAGCCAUGGCGCAGCAACCCAAGACAGGACUGACGAAGGGGAGCAGCACAGACGACACCCCAUCCCCUGCUACAUUCAGGUCAAAAUGUCUAACUGCAGCAUAUCCACAAAACAGAUCAGAUGAUAAAGAACAUUGCCUGAGGAACUGCCUUCAAACCAUCCCGCUGACACCAACAACAGGCCACUUGUCAUCCUGAGCAGUGUAACUGGGCUCAGAUCUUGGCCUGGGCUGUUCUUCAGCUCAGUCACGGUUAACUGGAAGCGAUUGGGUCAGCACUGAACAGUCCAAGUCUCUCAGUAUCUCCAAAUGUUACAUGGAGAAGCAUCAAGUCCUCAUCUUGAGGGAAAAUUUCUUCAGUUCCCUAUUUCCAGAGUCCACUAAUUCUGAAAUAGCAUUCGGAGGAGAUCAGGCUGUUAUAUUUCUGACGUGGCUCUUACAAAGCAACCCGUGGUCAUCUUCCCCCUUGGCCUGAUUAACUAGUUUCUCGAGACUACUGUUACUGAGCUACUUUGUACCUCCAUGCCCAAUUCUGCUUUGCACCAAUUUGCCCACAAAUACUGACUUGAAAUGUGGAGAACUGUCUGAGGACGCAUGACGAUAUAUUGUGGAGCAUGUAACAAAAUAAGAGAACUGGUAAAGCUCACCAGAGUAGGUCCUGAAGGUAAAAGGCUGACUGGUCACCAGCCCAUCUGAGGAGGUGUUUACCUGGAUCACAGUGGUGCACACCAACACAGAGCCCAGACCUGUAAUUUAAUUCACAUUAAUCACCUAGACAACAUAAAAAACAUGAAAAACAAUUUCCAAAAACACACCUCUGAGUUUCUCUGGUAUCUCAGUGAAUAAAUGUGUCGCAGUGUGAGAUUGAGCCAAACAGACUUGUGAGGUCUAAUUUUCCAUCUCUGAUCUCUGCUCCCCGGGGCAGUUUACACCCUCUCUAGCUCAUCCUAAACUCUGCCACCUGUAUCCAAACACAUAUGGAGACCCGUUCAUUUAUCAUUCUUGUGGUCACUGGAUAGCGACUCUUCAUUCAGUAAGGCCUCUUUUAAAAAAUUCACAACUUUGUUUAUAAAUCCCUCCUUGGCCUCACCCUUCCCUAUUUUUGCAUUCGACUCCAGCCCACAACUCUCUGAGUUAUCUGUGCUCCUCUAAUUCUGGCCUCUUGAACAUCCUCAAUUUUACUUGCUCUGCCACUGGUGGCUGUGCCUUCAGCUGCCUAGGCAUUAGCACUAGAAUUCCCUCUCUAAAUUUGUCUGUGUCUCUCUCCUCCUCAAAUACUCCUUAAAGCUUAUCUCCCUGGGACAUUUUACAAUAUUAUUUGUGUUAUCUAAAUAUAAGUUUUUAUUGUGUUAACCAAACUCAGUGAAAGUCUGCUAAACUCAUUUUGGUUUCAUUGAGAUAAUUAUCAUGUAAGUUGAAGGUCAGGGUUGAUCUCAUCUUACUGGAAUGUGAAAUGAGUGCAGCCAACUAAACAAUCCUGUAGACGGAGCUCUCUAAUGAUAAGGAAACCUGUUGCAGCUUCCUGAGGCCACCAGUUCUGAAGUAGAUGCUCAAUCUCUAGGACUCCCCUGCUUUACCCCUACUGGCUUCCAUCAAGCUUAGGUGCUGAAGAUCUAUACCUCCUCCCAUACCUCAAUCUGCAUCCCCACUUCCACCUAACUGUCCUCUUGCCCGUCUCUGCAUGAAGGCAGCAAUCUAGAAUAUGGAUCAGGUAUGGCAGAGAUGGUCCUCAUUGGUUGAACACUCUCACUCCCCUACAUUCACUGUCUGGAUUCAAGGCUGAGGCAUUUGUGCCAAAUACCAUUGUUAUAGUGCACAGUUAUAUUACACAUUUUUAGAAAAACCGUUCCAAAGGUUACACUUUUCAACAAAAACCUUGGACUGAGUUUAAAGACUGUUUCAAAAUGGCUCCAAGCUAUCACACUGAAUUGUGGAUUUCAGACUCGGUUUCCUCUUCUGAAAACACAAAAGGCAAUCCUUAAUUUAACUAUGGGUCACUGGACUUGUCAGGGAUAUAAGGAAGUUUUGUUGAGGCCUUAUUGUAAAAGUGUAAACUGUGCCUUAGGCAGGACAAAAGCUGAGAAACGCAGGUGGGAGAAGGGCAGUUUGAAGUGUUGAUGCCUUAUUUGGGAGAUGACUUGGCAGUUUCAUACAGGUCACAUGAUAACAGUGGCCAUCUGAGCUCCUGAAAAAAGCAUUGAAAGGGGCAGGGAGCUGAGUGAGGAAAAAGGAUCUUCAGAGAAGCAGACAAGAGAUUUAACCCAGGGAGAAGGGGAGACAAAUCCAAAAACAGCUAAUGAUCUGCGGUAAGUGACUGGCAAGUUUGAAACUGCUGCACUAGAGAAGCUCCUCCCUGUAGACCUGAUUCCAUUUACUAAGUACCUGUGAAAACAACCUCUGGAAAGUCAACAGUGGAAGCCAUUGCAGCUGCAGAGACAAUCCUACAACUUCAAAACUUUCACUUCAGACAACAGAACAUUUCGACUUCAAGAACUACCAUCGAACAAUAAAGACUGAAUUGAUUCAAUUUUUUAUAAGCAUCUUUUUAUCCUCAUCUGUAACUGAUCUUUGUGUGUGUGUAAGUAACUUUAUCCUUUUUUAAGUAACCUCCAGAGCAAUAAUUUGAA